CUAGCUAGUUUAUCCUGAUGAUGAUUGAAAUAUAGUCGAAACGUAGAUAAAUAAAAAUGUUAUCGAUUUUUGGAGUUUCACUUGUUUUGUAUUUUAUUAAAAUACUUAGUGGUUCUAAAAAUUUAAGGCUAGGAAGACCUGACAACUUCCAAAAUUUAUAUAUUUAUCCAGGAUACCACGUCACCGAAGUGUUUUUCAAUGGGAUCCUGCAUUAUAAAUUUCAACUUCAAUACAUCUAUAUUACUAGAAAAUACAUGCAUGCAGAAACCCUCGCCUUGCUGACAAAACCAUUGUAUUUUCCGAACAUGAAGUAUCUAAAGUUGUUGUCAUGGUAACACGAUAACUUUUUAAGAAUAUUCUUACAUGUCAAAUGAAAAAUCGCCUAAAAAUAUCACUUUUAAUUACAAAAUGAUCAAUUUAUAUAUUCAGGGUGUAUAAAAAAAAGCGCAAUCCUCGACUGAAAUGUAAAUUGCUAAACAAAUAAUAGACGAAAACGUUGAAGUUUACAUUCAUUUUAAAGCGUAGCCAUUCAGCUUUCUAACAGUGGGUUGUUUCUUAAAUUUGACUCAUUGGUUCGCGGGUAAUAAUAUUUUACGUUAUUGCGAGUGGAGAUUAAAAAA